rnacentral:rRNA from 1 species
UCCACGCUGUAAACGAUGGAUGCUAGGUGUGGGAGGUCUAAGAUUCCUUCUGCGCCGAAGCUAACGCAUUAAGCAUCCCGCCUGGGGAGUACGGUCGCAAGAUUAAAACUCAAAGGAAUUGGACGGGGGCCCGCACAAGUGGUGGAGCAUGUGGUUUAAUUCGAUGCAACGCGAAAAACCUUACCCAGACUUGACAUCUCGGAAAGUUGAAUGAAAGUUUGAUGUGCCCUUCG